CGGCGCUCUGGCCGGGCGCGACCGCGAACUGCGGGUCCGCGAAGACCAGUUCGAAGCCGCUCUCGUCGGC
rnacentral:tRNA from 1 species